rnacentral:ncRNA from 1 species
UCGCGAUAAGGGCAAACUCUGAGUGAUCAGGGGGCGCAAAGAAAAGGGUCUUUUAAACAUACAAGGAUAUGUAGUUUAAGAUGAUGCCUGUCCUUGAGUGAAAAAGAUAGCCUUACUGCCGUG